rnacentral:rRNA from 1 species
UACAGAGGGUGCGAGCGUUAAUCGGAAUUACUGGGCGUAAAGGGUUUGUAGGUGGCUUGCUAAGUCAGACGUGAAAUCCCUCAGCUUAACUGGGGAACUGCGUCUGAUACUGGCGAGCUUGAGUGCAGGAGAGGAACGCGGAAUUCCAGGUGUAGCGGUGAAAUGCGUAGAUAUCUGGAGGAACACCGGUGGCGAAGGCGGCGUUCUGGACUGUAACUGACACUGAGAAACGAAAGCCAGGGUAGCAAACGGG